rnacentral:rRNA from 1 species
AGAGUUUGAUCCUGGCUCAGGAUGAACGCUGGCGGCGUGCCUAAUACAUGCAAGUAGAACGCUGAAGCUUGGUGCUUGCACCGAGCGGAUGAGUUGCGAACGGGUGAGUAACGCGUAGGUAACCUGCCUGGUAGCGGAGGAUAACUAUUGGAAACGAUAGCUAAUACCGCAUAACAGUAGAUGUUGCAUGACAUUUGCUUGAAAGGGGCAAUUGCUCCACUACCAGAUGGACCUGCGUUGUAUUAGCUAGUAGGUGAGGUAACGGCUCACCAAGGCGACGAUACAUAGCCGACCUGAGAGGGUGAUCGGCCACACUGGGACUGAGACACGGCCCAGACUCCUACGGGAGGCAGCAGUAGGGAAUCUUCGGCAAUGGGGGCAACCCUGACCGAGCAACGCCGCGUGAGUGAAGAAGGUUUUCGGAUCGUAAAGCUCUGUUGUAAGAGAAGAACGAGUGUGAGAGUGGAAAGUUCACACUGUGACGGUAACUUACCAGAAAGGGACGGCUAACUACGUGCCAGCAGCCGCGGUAAU